UGAAGAUGGUGCUAAGGGUGGGUAGGAAGGAAACAAGUACUAUCACUACAGCCGUCGGUAAGAUAGGCAUGGGAGGAUGGAGAUGGGAAAUUGCAGAGACCACCCAAUCUCCGCCCAGAGACCAACCCUUUUAUGGUUUAGCACAGUCUGAUAAGCAGAAGACACGGGCCACUGGGACCGUCCAACUUUGGAGCAUGCGCAUAAUUCUUUCCUUUGAGAAGACAAGAACCAAGGAAUUCCAUAGUCCACCACCAGGUAACACAACGAGAAGGGAGGCCUACAAGUAUUUCAGAAGCUGCUUCAGCAGCAGCUGAGUCCGAGCAGGACCAAGUGCUGGUGGAGGGGAGGCCUAACCAGUCUCCACUACAGAUGGAAUGCUGGAGAGGACAAUAAAAGGCAGAAGUGGUCAUUUGUCUUUCA
rnacentral:lncRNA from 1 species